rnacentral:misc_RNA from 1 species
GAUGAAGAACGCAGCGAAAUGCGAUAACUAAUGUGAAUUGCAGAAUUCCGUGAAUCAUUGAGUCUUUGAACGCACAUUGCACCCUCUGGUAUUCCGGGGGGUAUGCCUGUCCGAGCGUCAUUUCAACCCUCAAGCUCUGCUUGGUCUUGGGCCGCGCCGGCAACGGCGGGCCUCAAAAACAGUGGCGGCGCCAUCUGGUCCCUCAGCGUAGUAAUUCUUCUCGCUGCUGGGCCCCGGUGGCCGCUUGCCAGCAACCCCAAACUUUCUAUGGUUGACCUCGGAUCAGGUAGGGAUACCCGCUGAACUUAAGCAUAUCAAUAAGCGGAGGA